AUUAUAUUUAAGUCGUUUUUAAUUUUUAUCACGUUAUUUUACUCAUAUUGAUUUUUAUUUGUAAAUAAUCAAUUUGCUUUAGUCUAGAAUUUUAGUAUAUUGAAGGACUUUUUUGUCUUAUUUUAAAAAUAUGCUUUAAAUUGUAAAAAUAUUCGAAUUAGCUCUCGCCGCGAUAUAGCCUUUUUGUGCUAAUGUGGCGUAAAGCAACAAAC
rnacentral:lncRNA from 1 species